AUGGCCGUGGCCGUGGGCGCGUGCGCGCGGGACCCGGAGGGCGGAGGCCUGCCCCGCCCCGUCUCCAUGGCAACGGGCGUGUGCCUAGCCCCAGCGCUGGCUGCGGCGGAACCCACGGCGUACCUUCCCGCCUCCAACAAACUAUCCGGUUGCUGAGGUUGAUUUAGCAACACCCCAGGGCAUCUGGGUUGGCAGGAGCACCACAGUGACAGCCUGGCCCAGGCUCGGGUACGGGAGGCAGCCCAGUGGCCCGCAGUAGAGGGCCAGGCUGGGGACCAGGGAGCUGGGGCUGAGGAGAAUUUGUACAGCCUAGGGAGGCGCAGCACAGCAGUAUCAGCCUCUGGCAUUUGUACCACCUUUAGUCCUGCCACUUUCUCUCACUGUGGCUUCGCAACAGACUUGGGAACCAAGAAAGGCAUAGGUGAGGAAGCUGAAGCCCAGUCUGGGCUCGCGGAAGAAACUGGUGGAUCCAACUUCUGCAUAGCGCAAAUAUCUGCUUCCUGCCUCCACCCACCCAUUCCCACUUCCCCUGAUUGGGGAACUCUAGAGCCCCACAUCAGAGUUCAACAUGUGCCUCAGGAGCUUCAGCACCUCUUUUGUGGGAGGAGAGUCCGCUGGUGACUGGGGCUGCAGGCCAUGACAUCAGCCUGCCCAGCUUCACCUCAGGCUGCUUCCAACAGUGCCAAGUGAGGUCCCUUGGCAGGAUCCCUGCAAGGCAGCGGCUGGCCACCAGGAGGCAGCAGCCUACUCUACAAGGCACUUUCUUCAUUCCAACCCCUUGUAACAGGUCUGAGGAAACCUGUUCGCCCAGCCAUGUGCUGCAACCAUCCUCCACUCCCAAUCUUAUCUCCCAAUAGCACAGAUUCCCCUAUCAUGAGUCCAGACUUGGCCUUCAUCUCCUCUUGCCUUCCUCUGUCCAAGGAAUCACUACAGAGAUUCUUUCUCUAUCCUUCUUUGUAAAUUUCCAGAAAAUUGUUUCCCCAGGGCCCCUCCCCUUGAAGAAAUUAAACAGGAAGCUGGAGUAGACUGUCCCUUCUUUCCCCCACCUCUCACACUCCAAAGCUCUGUUUAACUCUGUGGGCCAGUGGCUAGAUUCCCCAACAUGGAUGACAGAGAAUACACAUGCAAUAAGAAUGUUUUCGCUGCCACCAGCCACUCACAGACACACUGUCUCCCACCCUCUGAAGGCAUUGUGCCCAAUCCCCAGCCACUCACUGUCUAGUCAGGGCUGCCCCUGCAGGACUUGCCUUGGCUGAGGACCAGCUAGCUUCAAGCCACUCUGAAGUCAGCUUGCUGUUUCCCCUGGAGCCUGGUAAUACAUCCUUCUUCAGGUGAACAAAAGCAGAAAAAGCCCAGUGAACCCCACUGCAACAAAGAGCCUGCCAUCAGUCUUCCUUCUGUUCCUGCCUAUCUCAUCACCCAAGGGCUAUCCCAGAGCCCACUAUGUUCUAAGAUCUAUUCCUUUCACCACCACCCAGCCAAACAACUAUCCAGACAAUUCCUUGAUCAAACAACACUGCCUUCUUGAGUUUAAAUUUUAUUUUACAAAAAGAGAAAUAAAGAAAACUGAUAGGCAGUUAUACUGACUUACAA
ensembl:lncRNA novel transcript, antisense to RAD54L2and TEX264